rnacentral:rRNA from 1 species
ACCUCGAAUCAGGUAGGACUACCCGCUGAACUUAAGCAUAUCAAUAAGCGGAGGAAAAGAAACCAACAGGGAUUGCCCUAGUAACGGCGAGUGAAGCGGCAACAGCUCAAAUUUGAAAUCUGGCCUUCGGGUCCGAGUUGUAAUUUGUAGAGGAUGCUUUUGGUGAGGUGCCUUCCGAGUUCCCUGGAACGGGACGCCAUAGAGGGUGAGAGCCCCGUCUGGUUGGACACCGAUCCUCUGUAAAGCUCCUUCAACGAGUCGAGUAGUUUGGGAAUGCUGCUCUAAAUGGGAGGUAUAUGUCUUCUAAAGCUAAAUAUUGGCCAGAGACCGAUAGCGCACAAGUAGAGUGAUCGAAAGAUGAAAAGCACUUUGAAAAGAGAGUUAAAAAGUACGUGAAAUUGUUGAAAGGGAAGCGCUCAUGACCAGACUUGGGCUUGGUUGAUCAUCCAGGGUUCUCCCUGGUGCACUCUUCCAGUUCAGGCCAGCAUCAGUUCGCUGCGGGGGAUAAAGGCUUUGGGAAUGUGGCUCCUUCGGGAGUGUUAUAGCCCAUUGUGUAAUACCCUGUGGNGGAC